rnacentral:rRNA from 1 species
AUUGAACGCUGGCGGCAGGCCUAACACAUGCAAGUCGAGCGGUUGAAGGGAGCUUGCUCCCUGAUUCAGCGGCGGACGGGUGAGUAAUGCCUAGGAAUCUGCCUAUUAGUGGGGGACAACGUUUCGAAAGGAACGCUAAUACCGCAUACGUCCUACGGGAGAAAGCAGGGGACCUUCGGGCCUUGCGCUAAUAGAUGAGCCUAGGUCGGAUUAGCCUGUUGGUGAGGUAAUGGCUCACCAAGGCGACGAUCCGUAACUGGUCUGAGAGGAUGAUCAGUCACACUGGAACUGAGACACGGUCCAGACUCCUACGGGAGGCAGCAGUGGGGAAUAUUGGACAAUGGGCGAAAGCCUGAUCCAGCCAUGCCGCGUGUGUGAAGAAGGUCUUCGGAUUGUAAAGCACUUUAAGUUGGGAGGAAGGGUUGUAGAUUAAUACUCUGCAAUUUUGACGUUACCGACAGAAUAAGCACCGGCUAACUCUGUGCCAGCCGCCGCUGUAA